AAAAGCUACUAAGGGCGCGCGGGGGAUGCCUUGGCGCCAAGAGCCGAAGAAGGGCGUGGCUAGGCUGCGAUAAGCCUCGGAUAGCUGCCAAGUAAGCUAAACCGGGGAUUCCCGAAUGAGGCAACUCAUCCAGGUAAAACCUGGAUACUUCUGGUUGAACACAUAGACCAGAUAGAGGUAACCGGGGGAACUGAAACAUCUUAGUACCCCGAGGAAAAGAGAUUAUUCCCUGAGUAGCGGCGAGCGAAAGGGGAGAAGCCCAAACCUUGAUGACUCAGUGGUCUUGGGGCCUAUGUCAUCAGGGGGUUGUAAGGCAUAGCGUGUUUUGACCCAGGAAGAAACGGAGAGUUACAAACCAUAACCCUAGUCGAAGGUCUCUGGAAUGAGCUACCAUAGAGGGUGAGAGUCCCGUAGACGAAAGGGGGAGGCUCUCAGCUAUGUCCUUGAGUACCACGGGACACGUGGAAUCCUGUGGGAAGCUGGGGUGACCACAUCCCAAGGCUAAAUACUCUUGGCGACCGAUAGUGAACAAGUACCGUGAGGGAAAGGUGAAAAGAACCCCGUGAGGGGAGUGAAAUAGAUCUGAAACCGCGUGCCUACAAACGGUCAGAGUAUCAGAAGGGCAAAAAGAAGAGGGAGAGGAUAUCUGAGGCUUAAACCUCGAAGCGCUUGAAGCGCUUAAUGAAGGAAGGGGAUAAACCACCUGACCUUCUGUAUUGUCCUAUCCCUUGUUGCCCUUGAUGCGAUGGCGUGCCUAUUGAAGAAUGAGCCGGCGAGUUAAUCUAUGUAGCAAGGUUAAGCAAGUUGACUUGUGGAGCCGUAGCGAAAGCGAGUCCGAAUAGGGCGACUUGAGUUGCAUGGAUUAGACCCGAAUCCGGGUGAGCUACCCAUGGCCAGAGUGAAGUUUCGAUAACAUCGAAAUGGAGGCUCGAACCCGUCAAUGUGGCAAAAUUGUGGGAUGAGUUGUGGGUAGAGGUGAAAUGCCAAACGAACCCGGAGCUAGCUGGUUCUCCCCGAAAUGCAUUUAGGUGCAGCCUCGAGUGAUGAGCUUCGCAGGUAGAGCUCUGGAUGAGCUAGGGGGUGAGAAGCUUACCAAACUCAACCAAACUGCGAAUGGCGAAGCAUUUUAGCUCGGGAGUGAGACGGUGGGAGCUAAGUUCCAUCGUCGAGAGGGAAACAGCCCAGAUCAUCAGCUAAGGUCCCCAAGUGCAGGCUAAGUGAUAAAGGAUGUGGAGUUGCCUAAACAGCCAGGAUGUUGGCUUAGAAGCAGCCACCAUUUAAAGAGUGCGUAAUAGCUCACUGGUCGAGUAGCGCCGCGCCGAAGAUAUAAUGGGGCUAAAGCCUGCCACCGAAGCUAUGAACUUUGAGUGUACUCAGAGUGGUAGGGGAGCGUUCCCUUCAGCGAUGAAGCUCUAAUGCGAGUUAGGGUGGAGCGGAGGGAAGUGAGAAUGUCGGCAUGAGUAGCGUAAGGCGUGCGAGAAACACGCCCACCGAAAGCCUAAGGUUUCCUACGCAAGGUUAAUCCGCGUAGGGUUAGUCGGGCCUAAGCUGAGGCCGAGAGGCGUAGGCGAUGGACAGCUGGUUAAUAUCCCAGCACCGCCCGUCUUCGUUAAGGCUCGGGGAGUACAGGAAGGUAAGCCGAGCGUGCCUAUUGGACAUGGUGCGUCCCUGAUCGUAGGUGCGAGGGGAGGAAAAUCCCCCCUUGCUAUAAGCCGAGGAGAGGGGGAAGUUGCGGGGCAACCCAAGGCGAUUCGGCCGAACCUGACUGUCUAGAAAAACCUCGUUUCUUGAAGGCGAGCGCCCGUACCGCAAACCGCCACUGGUAGGCUAGGGUAAGAACCCUAAGGUGAUCGAGAGAACCCUCGUUAAGGAACUCGGCAAUCUGACCCCGUAACUUAGGGAGAAGGGGUGCCUUUGGGGGUGAAAGGACUAGCUCCUGGAGCUCCUGGGGGUUGCAGAGAAAAGGCCCAGGCGACUGUUUAACAAAAACACAGGUCUCUGCCAAAGCGUAAGCUCAAGUAUAGAGGCUGACGCCUGUCCAGCGCCGGAAGGUUAAGGGGAGGGGUUAGACGGAGAUUAUCGAAGUCGAAGCUCUGAACUGAAGCCCCGGUUAGCGACGGCCGUAACUAUAACGGUCCUAAGGUAGCGAAGCCCCUUGUCGGGUAAGUUCCGACCUGCAUGAAAGGCGUAACGACCUGGGCGCUGUCUCAACGAGGGACUCGGUGAAAUUGAAGUGCCCGUGAAGAUGCGGGCUACCCGCGACUGGACAAAAAGACCCCGUGGAGCUUUAC
rnacentral:rRNA from 1 species